rnacentral:rRNA from 1 species
UACGUAGGGUGCGAGCGUUGUCCGGAAUUAUUGGGCGUAAAGGGCUCGUAGGCGGUUUGUCGCGUCGGGAGUGAAAACCCAGGGCUUAACUCUGGGCUUGCUUUCGAUACGGGCAGACUAGAGGUAUGCAGGGGAGAACGGAAUUCCUGGUGUAGCGGUGAAAUGCGCAGAUAUCAGGAGGAACACCGGUGGCGAAGGCGGUACUCUGGGCAUUACCUGACGCUGAGGAGCGAAAGUGUGGGGAGCGAACAGG